CUUGCUAAUUCGCUGACGAGCGGCGGACGGGUNAGUAAUGCCUAGGAAGUUGCCCAGUAGAGGGGGAUAACCAUUGGAAACGAUGGCUAAUACCGCAUAAUCUCUUUGGAGCAAAGCAGGGGACCUUCGGGCCUUGUGCUAUUGGAUACGCCUAGGUGGGAUUAGCUAGUUGGUGAGGUAAUGGCUCACCAAGGCGACGAUCCCUAGCUGGUCUGAGAGKAUGAUCAGCCACACUKGAACUGAGACACGGUCCAGACUCUACGGGAGCGCAGCAGUSGGGRAAUAUUGCACAAUGGGCGAAAGCCUGAUGCAGCCAUGCCGCSUGUAUGAAGAAGGCCUUCGGGUUGUAAAGUACUUUCAGCAGUGAGRAAGGUGGUVAKUUUAABMCDCACAUCACUUGACGUUAGCUGCAGAAGAAGCACCGGCUAACUCCGUGCCAGCAGCCGCGGUAAUACGGAGGGUGCGAGCGUUAAUCGGAAUUACUGGGCGUAAAGCGCAUGCAGGUGGUGGACUAAGUCAGAUGUGAAAGCCCGGGGCUCAACCUCGGAACUGCAUUUGAAACUGGUUCACUAGAGUACUGUAGAGGGGGGUAGAAUUUCAGGUGUAGCGGUGAAAUGCGUAGAGAUCUGAAGGAAUACCAGUGGCGAAGGCGGCCCCCUGGACAGAUACUGACACUCAGAUGCGAAAGCGUGGGGAGCAAACAGGAUUAGAUACCCUGGUAGUCCACGCCGUAAACGAUGUCUACUUGGAGGUUGUGGCCUUGAGCCGUGGCUUUCGGARCUAACGCGUUAAGUAGACCGCCUGGGGAGUACGGUCGCAAGAUUAAAACUCAAAUGAAUUGACGGGGGCCGCACAAGCGGUGGAGCAUGUGGUUUAAUUCGAUGCAACGCGAAGAACCUUACCUACUCUUGACAUCCAGAGAAGCCAGCGGAGACGCAGGUGUGCUUCGGGAACUCUGAGACAGGUGCUGCAUGGCUGUCGUCAGCUCGUGUUGUGAAWUGUUGGGUUAAGUCCCGCAACGAGCGCAACCCUUAUCCUUGUUUGCCAGCACGUAAUGGUGGGAACUCCAGGGAGACUGCCGGUGAUAAACCGGAGGAAGGUGGGGACG
rnacentral:rRNA from 1 species